AGGAAUAUAUUAUUUAAAUUAUUUAAGGGAGGAUUAUUAAUUAAAAUAAUUUUAGUGAAUGUGUUUUAGUAUAGUUUAUGGAAUUUAUAAAGUGAGUAAUAGAGAAGUAGUACUGUGAAGGAAAUAUGAAAUAGAUGAUGAAAUAGUUAUUAGAAUGGAAGAAGAAUGAAGUUUGUACCUUGGGUAUCAGGGUUUAUUAAUUAAUAGUAAGGAUUUUAUAGUUCUCGAAUUGAAAAGAGUUAAAAUGGUAUGGUAGUUAAUGUGUUAUUAUUAUUAUUAAUAUUAUUUUAGGGAUGAAAUGUUAAACGUUUUUUAAGUUAUCUGGUUUUUCAAGAAAUGAAUUUAAUUUAUGUUAUUGAGAGUAAAUAUUUAAUUAAUUUAAUAAUUUAUUUUUAGUAAUAAAUGUAUAGAGGGAUAAGCUUUUAUAUAAUAAUUAUAAACUGUAGAAUUUGUAAAGAGUAGUAGGCUUUAAAUUAGCCAUCAAUAAAAUAAUGUUAUAAAUUGUUUUAUGAAUAGGUUAUUUUUUAAUAGUUUUAGUUUGUGUAUUGAAAUAUUGUAUUAAAUAAAUUAAUACAAGUGAUUAUGAUAAAAUGAGUAUAUAGAAUUGUUUACUAUAAUAUUUUUAGGAAUUUGUAAUAAGGAACUAGGCAAAAUUAUCACUCGCCUGUUUAUCAAAAACAUCUCCUUUUGUGUUUAUAUAAGGUAGGGCCUGCCCACUGAAAUUUAUUUGAAGGGCCGCGGUAUUAUGACCGUGCAAAGGUAGCAUAAUCAUUAGUCUUUUAAUUGAAGGCUGGAAUGAAUGGUUUGACGAGGUGAUGACUGUCUCAUUAUAAUAUAUAGAAGUUAACUUUUAAGUUAAAAGGCUUAAAUAUUGGUGGAGGACGAGAAGACCCUAUAGAGCUUUAUAUAUAAAUCUAGAUUUGUAUUUAGUGGUUUAUAAAAAUUUAGAUUUAGUAUAUUAUGUUGGGGUGACAUAAAGAUACAAUUAACUCUUUAUUUUAGGAACAUUGAUGUAUGGAUUUUUUGAUCCAUUUUUAGUGAUCAUAAGAUUAAGUUACCUUAGGGAUAACAGCGUAAUUUUUCUUGAGAGUUCAUAUCAACAGAAAAGAUUGCGACCUCGAUGUUGGAUUAAGGAAUAUAAUUGGAUGCAGCAGUUUAAGUUAAUAGGUCUGUUCGACCUUUAAAUCCUUACAUGAUCUGAGUUCAGACCGGUGUGAGCCAGGUCGGUUUCUAUCCUCAUUGUUUUUUUAUACUUUAGUACGAAAGGACCAAGUAUUUUAAAUAUUUUAUUAUGUUUGAUUAUUAUU
rnacentral:rRNA from 1 species